rnacentral:rRNA from 1 species
CAUGCAAGUCGAGGGGCAGCAUGGUCUUAGCUUGCUAAGGCCGAUGGCGACCGGCGCACGGGUGAGUAACACGUAUCCAACCUGCCGUCUACUCUUGGACAGCCUUCUGAAAGGAAGAUUAAUACAAGAUGGCAUCAUGAGUCCGCAUGUUCACAUGAUUAAAGGUAUUCCGGUAGACGAUGGGGAUGCGUUCCAUUAGAUAGUAGGCGGGGUAACGGCCCACCUAGUCUUCGAUGGAUAGGGGUUCUGAGAGGAAGGUCCCCCACAUUGGAACUGAGACACGGUCCAAACUCCUACGGGAGGCAGCAGUGAGGAAUAUUGGUCAAUGGGCGAGAGCCUGAACCAGCCAAGUAGCGUGAAGGAUGACUGCCCUAUGGGUUGUAAACUUCUUUUAUAAAGGAAUAAAGUCGGGUAUGGAUACCCGUUUGCAUGUACUUUAUGAAUAAGGAUCGGCUAACUCCGUGCCAGCAGCCGCGGUAAUACGGAGGAUCCGAGCGUUAUCCGGAUUUAUUGGGUUUAAAGGGAGCGUAGAUGGAUGUUUAAGUCAGUUGUGAAAGUUUGCGGCUCAACCGUAAAAUUGCAGUUGAUACUGGAUAUCUUGAGUGCAGUUGAGGCAGGCGGAAUUCGUGGUGUAGCGGUGAAAUGCUUAGAUAUCACGAAGAACUCCGAUUGCGAAGGCAGCCUGCUAAGCUGCAACUGACAUUGAGGCUCGAAAGUGUGGGUAUCAAACAGGAUUAGAUACCCUGGUAGUCCACACGGUAAACGAUGAAUACUCGCUGUUUGCGAUAUACUGCAAGCGGCCAAGCGAAAGCGUUAAGUAUUCCACCUGGGGAGUACGCCGGCAACGGUGAAACUCAAAGGAAUUGACGGGGGCCCGCACAAGCGGAGGAACAUGUGGUUUAAUUCGAUGAUACGCGAGGAACCUUACCCGGGCUUAAAUUGCAGAUGAAUUACGGUGAAAGCCGUAAGCCGCAAGGCAUCUGUGAAGGUGCUGCAUGGUUGUCGUCAGCUCGUGCCGUGAGGUGUCGGCUUAAGUGCCAUAACGAGCGCAACCCUUGUUGUCAGUUACUAACAGGUUCCGCUGAGGACUCUGACAAGACUGCCAUCGUAAGAUGUGAGGAAGGUGGGGAUGACGUCAAAUCAGCACGGCCCUUACGUCCGGGGCUACACACGUGUUACAAUGGGGGGUACAGAGGGCCGCUACCACGCGAGUGGAUGCCAAUCCCCAAAACCUCUCUCAGUUCGGACUGGAGUCUGCAACCCGACUCCACGAAGCUGGAUUCGCUAGUAAUCGCGCAUCAGCCACGGCGCGGUGAAUACGUUCCCGGGCCUUGUACACACCGCCCGUCAAGCCAUGGGAGCCGGGGGUACCUGAAGUGCGUAACCGCGAGGAGCGCCCUA